UUAGCGGCGGACGGGUGAGUAACACGUAGGUAACCUGCCUAUAAGACUGGGAUAACUACCGGAAACGGUAGCUAAUACCGGAUAAUUUGUUUCUUCUCAUGAAGAGGCACUGAAAGGCGGAGUAAUCUGCCACUUAUAGAUGGGCCUGCGGCGCAUUAGCUAGUUGGUGAGGUAACGGCUCACCAAGGCGACGAUGCGUAGCCGACCUGAGAGGGUGAACGGCCACACUGGGACUGAGACACGGCCCAGACUCCUACGGGAGGCAGCAGUAGGGAAUCUUCCGCAAUGGACGAAAGUCUGACGGAGCAAUGCCGCGUGAGUGAUGAAGGUUUUCGGAUCGUAAAGCUCUGUUGCCAGGGAAGAACGCUUGGGAGAGUAACUGCUCUCAAGGUGACGGUACCUGAAAGAAAGCCCCGGCUAACUACGUGCCAGCAGCCGCGGUAAUACGUAGGGGGCAAGCGUUGUCCGGAAUUAUUGGGCGUAAAGCGCGCGCAGGCGGUCAUUUAAGUCUGGUGUUUAAUCCCGGGGCUCAACCCCGGGUCGCACUGGAAACUGGAUGACUUGAGUACAGAAGAGGAGAGUGGAAUUCCACGUGUAGCGGUGAAAUGCGUAGAUAUGUGGAGGAACACCAGUGGCGAAGCGACUCUCUGGGCUGUAACUGACGCUGAGGCGCGAAAGCGUGGGGAGCAAACAGGAUUAAUACCCUGGUAGUCCACGCCGUAAA
rnacentral:rRNA from 1 species